CUGAGGAGCACUGAGCAAGAUGGCCACCUCCUGGUGGUAAGUCUCGCUCCUGGAGUUCCCAUCUUGACCCUACAGCGGGACAUUUUGCCGCCACCUCUUUGUGUGUUGGGAAGAUGACGUCCUUUCUGCUCGUCCUGCUUCUCUGAUUGGGACAGUCUGGUUUGAAAGGGAGGAGGAGAAAUAAGAGAAAGCUCCGUGGUAAUAUACAAGACGAAAGGAAAAGAAAGACAAGUAAAAGGAAUGAUCUGCAACCACCUGGAUAUUGGAGCACAAUUGUGAGAACAACUGGAUCUGUGUCUCUGGAGAUCCCUUUGCUCAGCCAUCAGAUCAAGCAGGCAUCCAUGGUUCAGAAUGCAGGUGAUGACCUGGGCAAGAGCUCACCAGUAAGGAGCAAAGGGGCCCGCCUGCCACUCUUAAGCAGAGCGCCUGCUGAAUCAGGAUUUCCAAGGCUCCGGCUGAGUGCCUGGCUGGGGGCUGUGUGUGCAGAUGCCACAAGAUGGACAAGACUGAGGACGCAGAUUUCCUACAACAGCAGACUUCUGAUGCCCAGGCCUCAGUUCUGAACUCUGGAGGCUACAACCUGGCCUGCUUAUAGACGGUGGACCAAAUGAAGGUGAAGAGGAGACGGAUGAGGAAACUGAAGCAACUGUUCAAGAAGAGGAUAUAAAAAGGGACAGGCAUUGAUGAUGAUAUCAGAGCUUCUUCCUGGGGAAUCUCAGCCUCACAUGAUGGAGUUUUUCAGUACUAUGUGGAGU
rnacentral:lncRNA from 10 species